GGAACUCCAGGGAGACUGCCGGUGAUAAACCGGAGGAAGGUGGGGACGACGUCAAGUCAUCAUGGCCCUUACGAGUAGGGCUACACACGUGCUACAAUGGCGCAUACAGAGGGCAGCCAACUUGCGAGAGUGAGCGAAUCCCAAAAAGUGCGUCGUAGUCCGGAUUGGAGUCUGCAACUCGACUCCAUGAAGUCGGAAUCGCUAGUAAUCGUGGAUCAGAAUGCCACGGUGAAUACGUUCCCGGGCCUUGUACAC
rnacentral:rRNA from 1 species